UACGUAGGUGGCAAGCGUUGUCCUGAAUUAUUGGGCGUAAAGCGCGCGCAGGCGGCCUCUUAAGUCUGAUGUGAAAGCCCCCGGCUCAACCGGGGAGGGCCAUUGGAAACUGGGAGGCUUGAGUAUAGGAGAGAAGAGUGGAAUUCCACGUGUAGCGGUGAAAUGCGUAGAGAUGUGGAGGAACACCAGUGGCGAAGGCGACUCUCUGGGACGGUACUGACGCUGAGACGCGAAAGCGUGGGGAGCGAACAGG
rnacentral:rRNA from 1 species